UACGUAGGGUGCAAGCGUUAAUCGGAAUUACUGGGCGUAAAGCGUGCGCAGGCGGUUUUGUAAGUCUGUCGUGAAAUCCCCGGGCUCAACCUGGGAAUUGCGAUGGAGACUGCAAGGCUAGAAUCUGGCAGAGGGGGGUAGAAUUCCACGUGUAGCAGUGGAAUGCGUAGAGAUCCGGAAGAACACCGGUGGCGAAGGCGGCUUCCUGGACCGACACUGACGCUGAGGCGCGAAAGCUAGGGGAGCAAACGGG
rnacentral:rRNA from 1 species